UAUUAAACAGUGAGUACGGUAGUGUAUUAAACAGAGUGAGUACGGUAGUGUAUUAAACAGAGUGAGUACGGUAGUGUAUUAAACAGAGUGAGUACGGUAGUGUAUUAUUAAACAGAGUGAGUACGGUAGUGUAUUAAACAGAGUGAGUACGUGUAUUAUUAAACAGAGUACGGUAGUGUAUUAAACAGAGUGAGUACGGUAGUGUAUUAAACAGUGAGUACAGUAGUGUAUAAUUAAACAGAGUGAGUACGGUAGUGUAUUAAACAGAGUGAGUACGGUAGUGUAUUAAACAGAGUGAGUACGGUAGUG
ensembl:lncRNA